rnacentral:rRNA from 1 species
AGCGCAGGCGGUCUUUUAAGUAGGAUGUGAAAUACCCGGGCUUAACCUGGGGGUGCAUCCUAAACUGGGGGACUUGAGUGUGGGAGAGGAAAGUGGAAUUCCUAGUGUAGCGGUGAAAUGCGUAGAUAUUAGGAGGAACACCAGUGGCGAAGGCGGCUUUCUGGACCAUAACUGACGCUGAGGCUCGAAAGCGUGGGGAGCAAACA